CCUACGGGUGGCAGCAGUGAGGAAUAUUGGUAAAUGGGCGCGAGCCUGAACCAGCCAAGUAGCGUGAAGGAUGACUGCCCUACGGGUUGUAAACUUCUUUUAUAAAGGAAUAAAGUGAGGCACGUGUGCCGUUUUGUAUGUACUCGAUGAAAAAGGAUCGGCUAACUCCGUGCCAGCAGCCGCGGUAAUACGGAGGAUGCGAGCGUUAUUCGGAUUUAUUGGGUUUAAAGGGAGCGUAGAUGGGUUGUUAAGUCAGUUGUGAAAGUUUGCGGCUCAACCGUCAAAUUGCCAUUGAUACUGGCAGUCUUGAGUACAGUUGAGGUAGGCGGAAUUCGUGGUGUAGCGGUGAAAUGCUUAGAUAUCACGAAGAACUCCGAUUGCGAAGGCAGCUUACUAAACUGCCACUGACAUUGAUGCUCGAAAGUGUGGGUAUCAAACAGGAUUAGAUACCCCUGUAGUC
rnacentral:rRNA from 1 species